ensembl:lncRNA
GUGCUGAAACCUGCAUUAUAAACUGGGUGGUUCUUCUUUACACUGUUAAGUGGUGCUGAAACCUGCAUUAUAAACUGGGUGGUUCUUCUUUACACUGUUAAGUGGUGCUGAAACCUGCAUUAUAAACUGGGGGUUCCAGGUUCAUCAUGAGUGAGACAUUAAAUUCAUAAUAGUUCUUAUCUCUGAUUGAUCAAUAGAAGUAAUUCAUACUAAGAUCUAAGAUCAGAUCACAGUUUCUAACUAUUUACUGUGUUGUUUCCUCUGGUGUUUUUCAAGCUAGGGGCUCUACCCCAUCCUCCUCUCCUCCCAAAGCCCUCCCCCCUCUCUCUCCUCCUCUCUCUGUCUGUCUCUGGGUUGGUGGCUGCUCUCUCCAUCUCUCUGAUCAUUCUACUGGUCCUGUUCUGCAAGAGGAACAAAGAUGUAGCUGCUGAACCCAGAGAUGUUACGUAUGCUGAUGUUAGAAUCACACAGGACCCAGAACACAGGAGAAGGAGAGGUACACACACACACACACACACACACAUAGCUGCUGAACCCAGAGAUGUUACGUAUGCUGACGUUAGAAUCACACAGGACCCAGAACACAGGAGAAGGAGAGGUACACACACACACACACACACACACACACAUAGCUGCUGAACCCAGAGAUGUUACGUAUGCUGAUGUCAGAAUCACACAGGACCCAGAACCCAGGAGAAGGAGAGGUACACACACACACACACAUAGCUGCUGAACCCAGAGAUGUUGCGUAUGCUGAUGUCAGAAUCACACAGGACCCAGAACCCAGGAGAAGGAGAGGUACACACACACACACACAUAGCUGCUGAACCCAGAGAUGUUACGUAUGCUGAUGUCAGAAUCACACAGGACCCAGAACCCAGGAGAAGGAGAGAGAAGUCUCCAGGAGCUGAUCCAGUCUACUCUGCAGUGAAGACCUCCAACACCACAGUUCCAGGUGGAUCUGGUCCAGGUGAUGUGACCUAUGCUGACAUCAACCACACAGAGAAGAGACAACACAACAGGAGGAGAGAGAAGGUCGUUCCAGACCCUGUCUACUCAGCAGUGAAGACAGAGAGAGAUACAGGUCAAAAGGUCGUUCCAGACCCUGUCUACUCAGCGGUGAAGACAGACAGACAGACAG